CGAAUUUGAGAGCUUUGAGAAAUCCAUUGACGCGUUGCUCAAAGUCCGCGAUCUCUCCAGACGCGCAGAAAUGAGUGCAAUUUCCCGAAGCAGAUCGCUCAAUUUCUUCAUAUUUUUCCUUUUGUGCUCCUUACAAUUCAUCCUAGGCGUUUCUGAUGAUUCAUCUGGUGCCCAUGAUAAGCCUAAAAGAAAGGGUUCUACGGUUGCCAUUAUAGUGAUCGCACUUGUGGUAGUUUUGCUGUUCUUUUUUUGCCUGUUUAAGUUGUGGCAGAAGAAGAAAAGAGAAGAGCAAUAUGCUCGCCUUUUGAAAUUGUUUGAAGAGGAUGAUGAGUUAGAGCUUGAGCUUGGCAUCAGGGAGUGACCUCUGAAGUUCAAAAUCUUGCGAUGAUUGUAUUUGAGGUGUAGGUGGUUGUGCUCAUUUGAAAAUUUUGCUUCUUGCGUAGUCAAGAUGGAUAGUGUGUUCCAUGAUGAGGUUAGGAUUUGAAAAGUUUGUAAUGAUAUUCAAUGAUUUUUUCAUAGAUAGAUAUAUGUUAUUUAAUUUCUUAUACGGUUUGGUAAGGAAGCCCAACAUUGUAAGACGUAAUUGGAAAUGGUUACUCGGAGUUUGUGAUACAUCUCAGGUAUGUUCAGGUGUUAAAUUGAAAUUCAGUCUUGACAUGUUGAAAAGCAAUACUACCUCCGAUCCUUAAUAUAA